CUUCUGCACCCCAUGCAGAUUGUUCAUAGACAUGGGGCAGCUCCUCCGAUGCCAGAAGAGUCUGCAGGGAUACCAGAAAAGUCGUUACAGAUUACAGGUAAAAGCAAUACCUGGCUAAUAGAACACAGGCAAAUAGUGCUUUAAGGAAAGAUUAGCGAAAUACACACCAAAAAAAUUAGUGUUAAUUAGCUUUACAGGCUUCCUUUACAUAGUUUUACUGUUACAUUUACAAUUUUGUAUAUUAAUAUGUAUUCUGAAUACACAUAGCAUGUGAGAUAAUCUUGUUGCCCUAAGGAAAGAAUUUCAAAUGUACUGAUGAAAUGUUUGCAAAGUUGAGAUUCUACUUUAAUGAAGAAUACUGUGCUGAUAACCUGUGGAUUGAAAACAAACCUAUCAAUGCUAUCAAUGAAUGAGCUCCACUAGCUCAGUUCAUCUUCGCCACAGCAUAGGUGGCAGAGUGGAUGUGAGCAGCCUACUAUGUGCUAGCUGCAUUCUGAAUGUAAGAAAGAGGCCACAGACUCCCAAAGGACAUUAGUUCACACGCAUCUUUUUCUGGCCAUCUGUGAGUUUUGACAAAUAGUCGUGUAACUGUCACCACAAUCAAAAUACAGAACAUUUCUUUCACUUCCCAAAAAAAUUCCUUUAUGUGACCCUUGUGCUAACCAUUACCGUCAAACCCUUAACCCUUAAUAACUACUGAUCUCUUCUCCAUAUAGUUUUGCCUUUUCCAGAAUGUCAUAUAAAUGAAAUCAUAAUACGUUGUUGAAUCUGGCUUCUUACACUUAGCAUAAUGAAUACAUUUGGGAUUAAUCCAUGAUGUUGAGUAUAGCAGUAAUUCAUUUUUAUUGCUGAAUAAGUAUUACAUUGCAUGGAUGUGCCACAGUUUGGUUAUCUGUGCUCCAGUUGAAGGACAUUUGGGUUUUAUUUUUUUGCAAUUAUGAAUAAAGAUGCUAUAAACAUUCCCUUACAGGUUUUUGUGUGAACACAGGUUUUCAUUUCACUUCAGUAAAUACCUAGGAUUGAGUCAUGUGGUGAGUGUAUAUUUAACUUUGUAAGAAACUGCCAAACUGUCAUCUAUAGUGGCUGUCCCAUUUACAUUCCACUAGCAGUGUAGAUGAGAGUUGUAGUUGCUCACCCAUCCAGGGUUUGGUAUUGUCAGUUUUUCUUUUUGUUUUUAAUUUAGGCAUUCUAAUAAGUUUGCAGGAUGUCUCAUCGUGGUCUUAAUUUGCAUUUGCCUAAUGACUAAUAAUGUUGAGCAUCUUUUCACAUGCUUAUUUGUCAUCUGUAUGUUUUCUUUGGUAACCUGCAGUGUUUUAAAACCAGUUGAAUAAGUUGUCAACGUUUAAAUAUUAGGAGAGUUCAAAUAAAAAUCUUGACAAUUUGGAAGAUCUGGCAACACCGGAUCCACAGUCCCACAUGACGAUGAUGGGCUCCAGUUCUGUGUGGUCCACUUACUUUGGUGCAUUGACUUGGUCAUCUUAUUGACUCCUCACAUUAAUUCUGUGAGAUUUGGAGAAAUAGAAUUGGGUCAAAGGUUAGAAACUGUGCUGUGGCGGGGGAGGAGCCAAGAUGGCCGAAUAGGAACAGCUCCGGUCUACAGCUCCCAGC
rnacentral:lncRNA from 10 species